UUCCUGCUCCGUUAGGUAGCUGGCAAACGUCAUCGGAUUUCGUUUCGUACUUUUGUUGGACAGUUGUUCCUUUUGUGUUCUCUCGUAUUUUAAAAUGACGUUUUUGCUCUAAGGAAAAAGCCCAAAAUGUGCAAUCACUCACCGGAUAAGUUUUGCUUUAUUUGUGGUUUGUACAUAUUCAAACAAAGUGCUCGAAAAAAAAAUAACCACAAACAUUUUAACUGCUUAUGAACAAUAUUUUGGAAUUCAAGCCAAGAAUUCGGAUAAACAUUGGACUCCAAACUCUGCAUGUGCACCAUGUUUUGUACGAUUAAGCGCAUUCAAGCGUAUUUAAGCGCACAGAAGCAAAAACGACCGUAAAUUGAUUGACAAUUUGAUGAAAAACUUCAAUGCCAUUGGUGCUCGGAUGUCUCUGAAACUUUGGACUUUUUUCCACCGCAUUUGGGAGCUGAGAGCGACGAACAAGCCGAAAGAUUUCACCAGAACAUUGCAACUAUCAAAAAUCGGUAUGAAGGUUUCUGGGGUCAGGCCAUGAUGGGCGACUAUUGGUGGAUGCAACUUCGA